CCCACUUUUUCACCUCUGUUAUUCAGAAUCUUUCCAUAUGAGAUAUCUUUUAGAAUAUGUUUCAAGGGGUAUAGAUCUAAAAUUACUUUACAGCUUUGUCUGAAUGGCUUAAUCUAAGCUUUCAUGAUCUGGGUGAUGACUACUUCUUAUAUUUCUUUCUCCUUCACAGCCAGGAUACCCUGUUUUUAUGCUGCUUGUUAAGAUUAUUUUGGUAUAUAAUUGGAUUUCUCUGACAUAUGUUGCUAACUAUUUGAGACACUGUGCAGUUGCAUCCAGUUUUCAUGUUUGUUGGCUUCAUUUUUCUAGCCAGCUAAGGUAAAUCCAGCCACUCUGCUUCUCCUUUCUUGAUAAGUGAUAUGAUCUGAAAUCAAGCUUAAGUCACAUGCUCUGUUUGUGUACAGGUAUUUGAUCUUACAAAAUAUUUCCUGUCAAAAAGGAUAGUCAGAAAUUGGUUCAUUUAAUCCUUCUAGGCCUUGCAAUCGUCCUGGGUGCCAUUGGGAUAUAUGCAGUCUUUAAAUUCCACAAUGAAAGCCAUAUUAAGAAUAUGUAUAGCUUGCAUUCAUGGCUGGGGAUUAGUGUCAUCUCUUUGUUUGGCCUGCGGUGGGUAGUGAGAUUCAUAGCAUUUCUUUACCCUGGCGCAUCAAAGAACAGAAGAGGAAGAAUAGUUCCUUGGCACUUGUUUUUUUGGGUUUUCCUGUAUGCAAUGGCAAUUGCAACAGUAGAGACAGGAAUUCUGGAGAAGCUUACAUUUGAAGAGAUUAAAGGGUUGAAUCGAUUCAGUUCAGAGGCUAUGCUUGUCAACUCUACAGUUAUUAUUAUACUUAUAUUUGCCAUGUUGGUCGUUUUAUCUACCAUUCUACCACGAGAGUAAUACAAAGCAAAUUUGGAAUUGUAGUAGGCUUCCUUGUUUCACCAAGGUCGUUCUAUCCACCAUCCUAAGGAUUGGAAUUUAGGUUUUUGAUAUCUUUUUUGUGAACAAAACCACUGUGAAAAAGAAAAUCUCUUGGUAAAUAUAAUAAAAAUGAUCGAAGUCAUAAUAAUAUGUUAGAAAUUUGUUUUA